UACGUAGGCAGCAAGCGUUGUUCGGAGUUACUGGGCGUAAAGGGUGUGUAGGCGGUUGGAUAAGUGUGGUGUGAAAUCUCCCGGCUCAACUGGGAGGGUGCGCUACAAACUGUCUGACUCGAGUGUGGGAUGGGUAAGUGGAAUUCCUGGUGUAGCGGUGAAAUGCGUAGAUAUCAGGAGGAACACCAAUAGCGAAGGCAGCUCGCUGGGACGUUACUGACACUGAGGCGCGAAAGCGUGGGGAGCAAACAGG
rnacentral:rRNA from 1 species